UACGGGGGGGGCAAGCGUUGUUCGGAAUUACUGGGCGUAAAGGGCCAGUAGGCGGCCAACUAAGUCGGGUGUGAAAUCCCCGGGCUCAACCUGGGAACUGCAUCCGAGACUGCAUUGCUAGAGUAUGGGAGAGGGAAGCGGAAUUUCUGGUGUAGCAGUGAAAUGCGUAGAUAUCAGAAGGAACAUCAGUGGCGAAGGCGGCUUCCUGGACCAAUACUGACGAUCAGGUGCGAAAGCGUGGGGAGCAAACAGG
rnacentral:rRNA from 1 species